AACGAACGUUGGCGGCGUGGAUUAGGCAUGCAAGUCGAACGAAUGCCAUUUGGGUAACUGAGUGGCGGAAGUGGCGAAAGGGGCAGUAAUGCAUGGGUAACCUACCCUGGGGACCGGGAUAGCCUUCCUAACGGAUGGGUAAUACCGGGCGAUGUGGCCGAGGGGCAUCCCUUGACCAUGAGAUGAAUCUCGCCUCGGGAGGGGCUCAUGUCGUAUUAGCUAGUUGGUGGGGUAACGGCCCACCAAGGCGAAGAUGCGUAGCGGGUGUGAGAGCACGACCCGCGCCACUGGCACUGAGACACUGGCCAGACUCCUACGGGAGGCUG
rnacentral:rRNA from 1 species